rnacentral:rRNA from 1 species
GCCCAGCGCAUAACCUCCCGGGCUACCAAGCUUGCGGCGGAAUGUUGCGUUAAGGGAAAGGUCGUUACAAAGCCCUGCACUACUUGUCCUAAGCUUUGGCUUGAAUUUUCACUGUAUCCUAACGGGUGCAACGGCUCCACAGAGGGUGUUAGGCCCGUGUGUCCAAGUGAUUAAAUGUGCAUGGGUUCGGCUUAUAUUCCCUGAGAGUCGCGUUGCUUGGACAUGCAGCGCUAAGCAGGUCGUAAACUCSACCUAAGGCUAAAUAUAUUCACAGAACCGAUAGUAAACAAGUACCGUGAGGGAAAGUUGAAAAGUACUCUGAAGAGAGAGUUAAAAGACCGUGAAACCGCUUAGAGUAUAAGCCAAUGGUAUCCUGGAAGGCCGGAGAUGAUGGGAUGGUACAUUCCCGAUUUGUGGGAGGUGUAUGUUUACCGGAAGUUAACGUUUGUGCAAGAGAUCAUGAAGGCAUGGUGGGGAAUCGAAUGGAAAAGUGGCAUUGGGUUGAUAACACACCGUCUAUACCUUGCGGGUGAUUGACUCUGACUGACAGGUUGUUGAUCCAUGARGUAAACUUCCGAGGGAGCACUUUUGCAAGCUCCGGCUUUGAGGCACAUGAACGAGUUUCUUAACACGGCUGCACUGCAAUCCCUUUACAAGGUCCCAUGCACGAGGCGAGGAAGAGAGUGUGGAGUGUCAAGCCCACUCUCUUUUCUCAUAGAUGAGCCGUGCGUGUCCUUUUGCCCUAUGGUAAUGUGUGCUAGCAUUUAUUUGCUGCAUGCACCUUCGUGGAUCAUACACUCACUGUAUGAAAUGUUGGACCUGGGGAUCAGCCGGCUUCUUCGCCGUCCCAGACGUGUGUGGUAUGAUCCUAAGUGAAGAUUGUUUCUGACCUGCCUAAACCCCGAAGUGAGUAUCGAACAGAUCUCACGAGCGCGCUGCGCAUGCAGACCUUAGUACCUAUCCUUCAAUGAGUGUUGAACCUGUCGUUGGUUGGGAAUAUAGGGGCUCACGUUGAUGAGCCUCAGCCCAAUUUCAAUUCCAGGGGAUGCUGGAGGACGUGUGGAAGCCAGGAAGCAUGGGGGGCGGCUGUUUGGUGUACUAUUCCAGAGCCAUUGGUCACGUCUCGAAACACGGGCCAAGGAGCAUAGCAUGUGCGCAAGUCUAAGGGAUCAGAAAUCCUGGAGGCGAAGUGAAAGCAAAUGGUGUGUUUGUGUCGGACACUCUGUGUUCGAUGCAUUCAGCUAGCGAUGAGCGUAAUUCUUGAGGUCGUCCUUAUGGCACCUCGGAUGACUGCGUCCCGCUGCUUAUAACUGAGUUGAUCCAUCGCAAUAAAGCCUCCAUGGCGCUGCGAAGGCGCAAACUCCAGGCUCUCUUUAAAGGGUAUUUGCGUAUCCUUGAGAGCACUGUAGAGCGUGCAUGCUAUAACCCGAAAGAUAGUGAACUAUGCCUGGCGAGGG